GACGAACGCUGGCGGCGUGUUUAACACAUGCAAGUCGAACGAAGAGCGAUGGAAGCUUGCUUCUAUCAAUCUUAGUGGCGAACGGGUGAGUAACGCGUAAUCAACCUGCCCUUCAGAGGGGGACAACAGUUGGAAACGACUGCUAAUACCGCAUACGAUCCGACCUCGGCAUCGAGGAUGGAUGAAAGGUGGCCUCUAUUUAUAAGCUAUCACUGAAGGAGGGGAUUGCGUCUGAUUAGCUAGUUGGAGGGGUAACGGCCCACCAAGGCAAUGAUCAGUAGCCGGUCUGAGAGGAUGAACGGCCACAUUGGGACUGAGACACGGCCCAGACUCCUACGGGAGGCAGCAGUGGGGAAUCUUCCGCAAUGGACGAAAGUCUGACGGAGCAACGCCGCGUGAGUGAUGACGGCCUUCGGGUUGUAAAGCUCUGUUAAUCGGGACGAAAGGUCUUCUUGCGAAUAGUUAGAAGAAUUGACGGUACCGGAAUAGAAAGCCACGGCUAACUACGUG
rnacentral:rRNA from 1 species